AUUUAACACGUCUUUUAAAACCGCAUAUCGCAAAUGUGACAAACCGCGGCUCUGCACUUAGCACAGAAAACAUUCUGUGCAUAGCACUUAGGUUUUUUGCGUCUGGCCAUUUUUUGUACAGUGUGGGCGAUUCAGAGCAUGUGGGAAAGGCAACUGUGUGUAGAGCCGUUCGUACAGUGUGUCUGGCACUUAAACAGUUGUUACCCACGUUUGUACAGUUCCCUGGCCAUAAACCUCUGCUUGUUAUUAAAGACGAAUUCCACAGAGUGGCAGGGUUUCCAAAUGUAAUUGGGUGCAUUGAUGGCACUCACAUUCCUAUUAAAGCUCCAUCAAUAAAUGAGGGAGACUAUGUUAAUAGGAAAUCUAUUCAUAGUAUCAAUGUGCAGGUAAUAUGUGAGGCAACCCAAAUCAUCACCAAUGUCGAGCAAAAUGGCCAGGAUCUGUGCAUGAUGCCAGAAUUUUCCGCGAGUCAUCAUUAUGCCAGACAUUUCAGCAGGGUAUGAUUUGCUUUAUACAAUUUUUGUUUUUUCGUUUUUUCUAUAUUUGUGUUGUACACUUCAAUCAUUACAGGACAGUACAAUGGUUACUUGCUGGGGGACAGAGGAUACCCUUGUCUGCCCUAUUUAAUGACACCCUACCCUGAACCUAAGCCUGGACCACAGACAUGGUUUAACCUGGCUCACAGCCGAACACGGGCCAAGGUGGAGAUGACUGUAGGGAUCCUCAAAUCUCGGUUUCAGUGUCUGCGUGGGCUCCGGGUUAGUCCAGAGAGGGCAUGAGACAUUAUUGUGGCUUGUGUUGUGCUUCACAAUAUUGCCACUAUAAGAGGAGAGAGCCACCCUCCUUGUAUUGAGGAAGAUGGCCCAGAGGAACACCGACAGAUUUUAGAGGCCAACAGAGACGGAAGACUUUUGAGAGACAGGAUUUGUCAAAAUUACUUUUAUUAGUUUUUUUUUGCACUGGUCUGCCAGGCAGUUUAUUUCUUCAUUUCCUGAAAAACAAUAAAAGUACAAUUCAUUUAAAUGUUUUUUUUU